GCAACUGUAGUUCAAUGGUAAGAACAUUUGGUUUCCAACCAAAAGACACGGGUUCAAUUCCCGUCAGUUGCA
rnacentral:tRNA from 1 species